rnacentral:rRNA from 1 species
UACGGAGGAUCCAAGCGUUGUCCGGAUUUAUUGGGUUUAAAGGGUGCGUAGGCGGUUUGAUAAGUCAGUGGUGAAAGUUUGCGGCUUAACCGUAAAAUUGCCAUUGAAACUGUCAGACUUGAGUAUGGUUGAGGUAGCUGGAAUGUGUCAUGUAGCGGUGAAAUGCUUAGAUAUGAUACAGAACACCAAUUGCGAAGGCAGGUUACUAAACCAUAACUGACGCUGAGGCACGAAAGCAUGGGGAUCAAACAGG